rnacentral:rRNA from 1 species
GACGAACGCUGGCGGCGUGCUUAACACAUGCAAGUCGAACGGAAAGGCCCUGCUUUUGUGGGGUGCUCGAGUGGCGAACGGGUGAGUAACACGUGAGUAACCUGCCCUUGACUUUGGGAUAACUUCAGGAAACUGGGGCUAAUACCGGAUAGGAGCUCCUGCUGCAUGGUGGGGGUUGGAAAGUUUCGGCGGUUGGGGAUGGACUCGCGGCUUAUCAGCUUGUUGGUGGGGUAGUGGCUUACCAAGGCUUUGACGGGUAGCCGGCCUGAGAGGGUGACCGGCCACAUUGGGACUGAGAUACGGCCCAGACUCCUACGGGAGGCAGCAGUGGGGAAUAUUGCACAAUGGGCGGAAGCCUGAUGCAGCAACGCCGCGUGCGGGAUGACGGCCUUCGGGUUGUAAACCGCUUUCGCCUGUGACGAAGCGUGAGUGACGGUACUGGGUAAAGAAGCACCGGCUAACUACGU